CAGCAGCCGCGGUAAAACGAAGGGUGCAAGCGUUAAUCGGAAUUACUGGGCGUAAAGCGUGCGUAGGCGGUUUGUUAAGUCUGCUGUGAAAUCCCCGGGCUCAACCUGGGAAUGGCAGUGGAUACUGGCAAGCUAGAGUGUGUCAGAGGAUGGUGGAAUUCCCGGUGUAGCGGUGAAAUGCGUAGAGAUCGGGAGGAACAUCAGUGGCGAAGGCGGCCAUCUGGGACAACACUGACGCUGAGGCACGAAAGCGUGGGGAGCAAACAGGAUUAGAUACCCCAGUAGUCCCUGUCUCUUAUAC
rnacentral:rRNA from 1 species